CUACGUGCCAGCAGCCGCGGUAAUACGGAGGGUGCGAGCGUUAAUCGGAAUAACUGGGCGUAAAGGGCACGCAGGCGGUGACUUAAGUGAGGUGUGAAAGCCCCGGGCUUAACCUGGGAAUUGCAUUUCAUACUGGGUCGCUAGAGUACUUUAGGGAGGGGUAGAAUUCCACGUGUAGCGGUGAAAUGCGUAGAGAUGUGGAGGAAUACCGAAGGCGAAGGCAGCCCCUUGGGAAUGUACUGACGCUCAUGUGCGAAAGCGUGGGGAGCAAACAGGAUUAGAUACCCUGGUAGUCCACGCUGUAAACGAUGUCGAUUUGGGGGUUGAGCUUUGAGCUUGGCGCCCGUAGCUAACGUGAUAAAUCGACCGCCUGGGGAGUACGGCCGCAAGGUUAAAACUCAAAUGAAUUGACGGGGGCCCGCACAAGCGGUGGAGCAUGUGGUUUAAUUCGAUGCAACGCGAAGAACCCUACCUACUCUUGACAUCCAGAGAACAUUC
rnacentral:rRNA from 1 species